UUAAGUUCCACGAAGUCCGCCAUUUCAAUCAUCCAUUUUUAUAUCAGUUCGAAUAAUGCACAUUGAAUUUCGAAAUUGACUUAUCAAUAAUUGUCAUCGCCGCUGCUUCUGCCGCUGAAUAAAUCUCUUUAUUGAUCCCUACCGAUGAGGGUUAUCAAUUUUAUUAAUACAAAUUUACUUCCACUUGGACUUGCAACUUCGAAGCUUGUAAAAAUAUCUUUCCUCCUUUAGUUCAAGUGAAUCGUUCAAAGCAUAAGAUGAGGCUUAUAUUUUUGUUUAUUUUGGUGACAGUAAUUUUUUCAAUACUGAUUGAAGCUAAAAAAUCUGACUCAGCAUGCCUUCGAUUGUAUUCGUUUGAUGGUAAGAUUGCUUGUAGAGGUCGAAGCAAAAGUACUCCAGAGAAGAGGAAGAAGAAGCAUCACACGUCUUCCCGAAAGAAAUCAAAUACUAGGAGAUCUAAAAAACAUAAAAAUAAGAAAACUAAAGUCGAAUCAACAACGCAAGUAGUGAAUGAAACCGUCACAUCAAAUGUAGACAUUUCUUAGAGUACAAUUUUGAAUGUACUUUUAUUUUUAUAACUUAUUUUUUAAGAACCUAAAGCUUGAGACAUGUAGACAAUAAAAAUAAAGUGAACAAAAUUAUGGUAAAUAGUGAAAUCAA